GUGGGGAAUAUUCCGCAAUGGACGAAAGUCUGACGGAGCAACGCCGCGUGAGUGAUGAAGGUUUUCGGACUGUAAAGCUCUGUUGUUUAGGACGAAAGUGCCUGUUGCAAAUGGUUACAGGUAUUGACGGUACUGAACGAGGAAGCCACGGCUAACUACGUGCCAGCAGCCGCGGUAAUACGUAGGUGGCAAGCGUUGUCCGGAAUUAUUGGGCGUAAAGAGCAUGUAGGCGGGAAUCUAAGUCUGUUGUGAAAAUGCGGGGCUCAACCCCGUAUUGCGAUGGAAACUGGGUUUCUUGAGUGCAGGAGAGGAAAGGGGAAUUCCCAGUGUAGCGGUGAAAUGCGUAGAUAUUGGGAGGAACACCAGUGGCGAAGGCGCCUUUCUGGACUGUGUCUGACGCUGAGAUGCGAAAGCCAGGGUAGCGAACGGGAUUAGAAACCCGAGUAGUCC
rnacentral:rRNA from 1 species